rnacentral:rRNA from 1 species
AUUGAACGCUGGCGGCAGGCCUAACACAUGCAAGUCGAACGAGUGGCGGACGGGUGAGUAAUGUCUGGGAAACUGUCUGAUGGAGGGGGAUAACUACUGGAAACGGUAGCUAAUACCGCAUACCAUCGGAUGUGCCCAGAUGGGAUUAGCUAGUAGGUGGGGUAACGGCUCACCGAGGCGACGAUCCCUAGCUGGUCUUAGAGGAUGACCGGCCACCCUGGAACUGAGAAACGGUCCAGACUCCUAGGGGAGGAGGCAGUGGGGAAUUUUGCACAAUGGGCGAAAGCCUGAUGCGGCCAUGCCGCGUGUAUGAAGAAGGCCUUCGGGUUGUAAAGUACUUUCAGCGGGGAGGCGUUACCCGCAGAAGAAGCACCGGCUAACUCCGUGCCAGCAGCCGCGGUAAUUC